AUCCCUUUAUAGUUCAUCAGCAUGAUGACUGAGUGUUUACACCCAUGUGUGAGAUGUCUCUUCCUCAAACCUUGUUACAAUGAUGGCAUAUUGACCAUCUGCUG